CCAGAACCAGAAGAAGGUGAAGUUGAAAGUCAGCAACUCCAUUUUGUGUCGAGGGGAAGAUAAACCAUUUCAGGAGUAAAAACACAAAUGAUGAAGAGAAAGAGAUCAGACUCACCAGAACCCAGCUGUGUGUCCAUGAAGAGUGACGCGUCAAUGGAUAUUCCAAUUUACUUCAGAGACGGAGCCAGUUCUCCUGAUGUGAGACCACAAAUGAAGAAAUCAAACAUCAGCAGAAAUCAGCUGGACUCCAUAUUCAAGG